UUUGAGGUUGCUUGGAUGAAUCUCCAGUCUGAGCUUCAUAGGGAGCUAUCCAAGGACCGCAAGACUUUCCUUGAACCCCCUGCUUAGGCUGGAACCCCAUCUGACUGACACCCCCACCUAGGAUAGAGCUGCUGUGGACAGGAACUUGCAAGGGGACCAAAUUCUUCAUCGGUGCCAAGAAACACAGCCUGGAGGGCUCUUGUAACCGAAUCUGCCGCAUGUAGCGUGUUGGAGACAGCACUCUUUCAAAGGCCAGAGCUGGGGCUGAUGGGAAAGAACAAGGUGUUUAGCUUAGGGGCAUUUGUGUUCCAAUGGGGAAUUAAUCUAUUCAUAUUGAUUAGAGAGUUAGUGGUGCCAAGCUGAUGAAGGGGAAAGGGUGGCAGAGGAGGGGAAAUGCGCCUGGACAGAUGGACAGGAGGAAGGACGAGGAGAGCACCCGUCUGAUGGAGGAAAAGGAAGAAGGAGCUAAGGUUACAAAUCAUCAGAUUUCCAUGAAAAUGGCAACAAUGUCUAGCAUGCACAAAAUAAAAUCAAUUCCACCUUG